UUUGCGUCGAAGGUAUACCGGUAAGGAGUGCUGGAGCGAAUAGAAGUGAGCAUGCAGGCAUGAGUAGCGAUAAUUAAUGUGAGAAUCAUUAACGCCGUAAACCCAAGGUUUCCUACGCGAUGCUCGUCAUCGUAGGGUUAGUCGGGUCCUAAGUCGAGUCCGAAAGGGGUAGACGAUGGCAAAUUGGUUAAUAUUCCAAUACCAACAUUAGUGUGCGAUGGAAGGACGCUUAGGGCUAAGGGGGCUAGCGGAUGGAAGUGCUAGUCUAAGGUCGUAGGAGGUUAUACAGGCAAAUCCGUAUAACAAUACUCCGAGAACUGAAAGGCUUUUUGAAGUCUUCGGAUGGAUAGAAGAACCCCUGAUGCCGUCGAGCCAAGAAAAGUUUCUAAGUUUAGCUAAUGUUGCCCGUACCGUAAACCGACACAGGUGGGUGGGAUGAGUAUUCUAAGGCGCGUGGAAGAACUCUCUUUAAGGAACUCUGCAAAAUAGCACCGUAUCUUCGGUAUAAGGUGUGGUUAGCUUUGUAUUAGGAUUUACUCCGAAAGCAAGGAAACUUACAACAAAGAGUCCCUCCCGACUGUUUACCAAAAACACAGCACUCUGCUAACUCGUAAGAGGAUGUAUAGGGUGUGACGCCUGCCCGGUGCUCGAAGGUUAAUUGAUGGGGUUAGCAUUAGCGAAGCUCUUGAUCGAAGCCCGAGUAAACGGCGGCCGUAACUAUAACGGUCCUAAGGUAGCGAAAUUCCUUGUCGGUUAAAUACCGACCUGCAUGAAUGGCGUAACGAGAUGGGAGCUGUCUCAAAGAGGGAUCCAGUGAAAUUGUAGUGGAGGUGAAAAUUCCUCCUACCCGCGGCAAGACGGAAAGACCCCGUGGACCUUUACUACAGCUUGAUACUGCUACUUGGAUAAGAAUGUGCAGGAUAGGUGGGAGGCUUUGAGUAUAUGACGCCAGUUGUAUAUGAGCCAUUGUUGAGAUACCACUCUUUCUUAUUUGGGUAGCUAACCAGCUUGAGUUAUCCUCAAGUGGGACAAUGUCUGGUGGGUAGUUUGACUGGGGCGGUCGCCUCCCAAAUAAUAACGGAGGCUUACAAAGGUUGGCUCAGAACGGUUGGAAAUCGUUCGUAGAGUAUAAAGGUAUAAGCCAGCUUAACUGCAAGACAUACAAGUCAAGCAGAGACGAAAGUCGGUCUUAGUGAUCCGGUGGUUCUGUGUGGAAGGGCCAUCGCUCAAAGGAUAAAAGGUACCCCGGGGAUAACAGGCUGAUCUCCCCCAAGAGCUCACAUCGACGGGGAGGUUUGGCACCUCGAUGUCGGCUCAUCGCAUCCUGGGGCUGGAGCAGGUCCCAAGGGUAUGGCUGUUCGCCAUUUAAAGCGGUACGCGAGCUGGGUUCAGAACGUCGUGAGACAGUUCGGUCCCUAUCUGCCGUGGGCGUAAGAAGAUUGAAGAGAUUUGACCCUAGUACGAGAGGACCGGGUUGAACAAACCACUGGUGUAGCUGUUGUUCUGCCAAGAGCAUCGCAGCGUAGCUAAGUUUGGAAAGGAUAAACGCUGAAAGCAUCUAAGCGUGAAGCCAACUCUAAGAUGAAUCUUCUCUAAGCUCUCUAGAAGACUACUAGUUUGAUAGGCUGGGUGUGUAAUGGAUGAAAGUCCUUUAGCUGACCAGUACUAAUAGAGCGUUUGGCUUAUCUUUAAUAAAGCAU
rnacentral:rRNA from 1 species